UUUAGAAUACUUUCUCUAACCAUUAAAGACUGAAGAGGGAUAAAAGAGAAAGUUAGAUGGAGGGAGGGAAUGUGAAAAUGAAACACAAACCAAUAGACUAUUCCCAAGCUUAUAAAUGCAGUUCCAUUUAUGAAAAGCAACUCGGUAGCCAGAAAAUAAACACAUUCCCCUUGCUUCUGUAACACUUCCAAAGAGAAAUGAGGCCAAAUCCACUUUUGGAGAGUCAGCUGAACACAUCCAAUUUUCCAUACAGAACCUCAGCUACCCUGUUAUUUCUGAACUGAGCAGGAGUAGCAUUGGUAAGGGGGCAUGAUGCUAAAUGAUCAUUAGACAGCAUGUCAAUGGGUUUUUUAAAAAAAUACAAUAGCAGGCAAGCAGGCAAGCAAUUUUAUUCACACUGCAACAUUUGGGGACCCUUCAGGCAUGAUCCCAUGACCUCAACAAAAACUACAUCCUCUGGCUUUCGAAAUUCAGUUUCACUCCUAUGCCAAACUAACUUGAAGACCCAAGUUUGCAGUUUUGGUGCACUCUUUGAUUCAGGCCUGAGUCUGAAUUCCCAGUUUGCAGAGGAGGCCAAGACAAAUUUUGCUCAGCUGAGCAAGUGUGCCAACUCUACUCAUUCCUGGAAAUGUUAAAUCUGGGCACAGUGAUGCAUGCUUUAGGUACAUCUUGUUUGAAUGACAGUAGCACACUCUAUGUGGUGUGUAUGCAUAUAUUUAUGUUUAAAAUAUCUUAAAUAGGAAGGUUUAAAUCAAAUGUGCCUUAAAAUAAAAGGCACAUUUAAAGUCCUCCCUUAUUAUCUACCCAUACUUACAUUGUCCCUCACCCCACUCAUAAUUGUAUCAUGUCCAACCUUCAGUUUCAAUAUUUAAAAAUCCAACUAAUUUAUAGUUGGAAAGAAUGUUGCCUCACAUGAACAAAUGGCUUCUUUGCCCAGCUUUAUGUGGCUUUCUGGUGCCUUCCUGCUCCCUAGUAAUAGCACAUUCUUCCUCUUAUUGUAAAGGUAGCAAUGGAUAUUACCGUAAUGUAGUUUCCCUGCAGUAGAAAAAUGUUUUUGCAGAAUUUAUUAACAUUAAAGAGCUCAAAUCAUUACCUUCUAUCCCAUCUCUCUUUCUCCAGCAUGAUAACUUUCUACAGCAACAGAGCACCAGCUGGAAGAGGGAAAUGCUGCAAUGGGGCCUUUUCUGAUUAAUCCCUUAAUCUGCUGAACAUCUUCAAACACCAGGACUUCCCUUUCAAGCCCAGCUGGAGAGUGGCAUCUGUGGGGCUCUCCAUGCCACUUGACAGACUGUACAGCCAUCCAAAGUAGCAGAUGCAAGAUUGUGAUGGGGCAGCAGUGGCAGCCACCACAGCUCCACACAGAUCUCACUGGAACGUGACCCUCCUAACUGGACCAGCACAGCUCAUUCAGCC